UGUCCUUGUACAGUCACUUAGUACACAGGUCCUCACCAUGACAUGGAGCUGCAUUAUUUUCUUCUUGGUAUCAGUAAUUACCGGUGUCCAUUCCCAGGUCAAGCUGCAGCAGUCCGGUUCUGAACUAGGGAAACCUGGGGCCUCAGUGAAGCUGUCCUGCAAGACUUCAGGCUACACUUUCACAAGUUACUAUAUUUCCUGGGUGAAGCAGAAGCCUGGAGAAAGCCUGCAGUGGAUAGGAUAUGUUUAUGGUGGAGGUGGUGGUACAAGCUACAAUCAAAAAUUACAGGGCAAGGCCACACUGACUGCAGAUAAAUCCUCCAGCACAGCCUACAUGGAGCUCAGCAGCCUGACAUCUGAGGAUUCUGCCAUCUAUUACUGUGCAAGACACACAGUGUUGCAACCACAUCCUGAGUGUGACAGAAACCGUGGAGAAGCAGGAAGCUGCCCUAGGCCUGAGAUGACAGAAAAGAUAAUCCUGGGUGUUUAUUCAGAAAUAUUCAAUCUGAGUGUCCCUUUGUCACUUUGCACAUUCCUACCAGUUUCUCACAUGAGUAGAUACUGCUUUAGGAUGCCUCAGUGUACUCCAUACCUUGACAAUUUGUUCACCAGUGACUACCUCUCUUGACACGAUUCUUCAUUAAUAAAACAGUCAAUUUGAAAA